GGAAUCUUCCACAAUGGACGCAAGUCUGAUGGAGCAACGCCGCGUGAGUGAAGAAGGUCUUCGGAUCGUAAAGCUCUGUUGUUAGAGAAGAACACGAGUGAGAGUAACUGUUCAUUCGAUGACGGUAUCUAACCAGCAAGUCACGGCUAACUACGUGCCAG
rnacentral:rRNA from 1 species